GCUGGAGCCUGGACUCCUUUAUUAGGAAUGAAGGGUCUCUCCUUGGCUACUGGCCAAUUAAUUACCUCCUUAAUAUCAGCAAUUCUUAUUUAUGAUCUGCAAUCUCCACGAGUAGCCUGCUUGGACAAAACCCAUUUAUGGAAAUCCAAUUCAUAAGGACUCUCUUGUUCCUAUUCUUAAUUGAUACCAAGUCCAGAAGAGAAGAAGGGUGCUGCAACGUGAGGAAAAAAAGAGAUGCAGUCCCCACUGUCAUGAAAUACAGCCAUAUAAUCAAAGAAUCCCACAAUUCUACCACGAGAAGUACUGUGAUCGAGAGAUACAUAAUGCCGAGAGCAUUUACGAGAGGAUGUGGCCUGUCCAGGAGAAAGGCCAUAUGAGGACACAGCAAGACAGCCACAAGCCAGGAGAGAAGCCCUUACCAGAACCUGC